GUUUUGGUCCUAACUUACUGCUACUUUUAUCAAAUUACACAUGCAAGCAUCCACAUACCAGUGAAAUAUGCCCUAACAUAGUAAAACGGAGCAGGUAUCAGGCACGAAAUUCAGCCCAAAACACCAAGCUACGCCACACCCACACGGGCCUACAGCAGUGAUUAACAUUAAGCAAUGAGCGAACAAAUACACCUUUAAAGCUCGACUUAGUUAUGAUUAAUAGGGCCGGUCAACCUCGUGCCAGCCACCGCGGUUAUACRAGGGGCCCAAAGCAGCAGAUUUCGGCGUAAAUCGUGACUAGAAUUUUUCUUUAAAACUAAAGAAUAAACCAUAACCUAGCCGUAAAACACAGGUUAAAUGAAAC
rnacentral:rRNA from 1 species